AACGAACGCUGGCGGCAUGCCUAACACAUGCAAGUCGAACGAAGCCUUCGGGCUUAGUGGCGCACGGGUGCGUAACGCGUGGGAAUCUGCCCCUUGCUUCGGAAUAACCGUUAGAAAUGACUGCUAAUACCGGAUGAAGUCUUCGGACCAAAGAUUUAUCGGCAAGGGAUGAGCCCGCGUAGGAUUAGGUAGUUGGUGGGGUAAAGGCCUACCAAGCCGACGAUCCUUAGCUGGUCUGAGAGGAUGAUCAGCCACACUGGGACUGAGACACGGCCCAGACUCCUACGGGAGGCAGCAGUGGGGAAUAUUGGACAAUGGACGCAAGUCUGAUCCAGCAAUGCCGCGUGAGUGAUGAAGGCCUUAGGGUUGUAAAGCUCUUUUACCAGGGAUGAUAAUGACAGUACCUGGAGAAUAAGCUCCGGCUAACUCCGUG
rnacentral:rRNA from 1 species